rnacentral:rRNA from 1 species
GAAGGGUGCAAGCGUUACUCGGAAUUACUGGGCGUAAAGCGUGCGUAGGUGGUUGUUUAAGUCUGCUGUGAAAGCCCUGGGCUCAACCUGGGAAUUGCAGUGGAUACUGGGCGACUAGAGUGUGGUAGAGGAUAGUGGAAUUUCCGGUGUAGCAGUGAAAUGCGUAGAGAUCGGAAGGAACAUCUGUGGCGAAGGCGACACCCUGGACCAGCACUGACACUGAGGCACGAAAGCGUGGGGAGCAAACAGGAUUAGAUACCCUGGUAGUCCACGCCCUAAACGAUGCGAACUGGAUGUUGGGAGCAACUAGGCUCUCAGUAUCGAAGCUAACGCGUUAAGUUCGCCGCCUGGGAAGUACGGUCGCAAGACUG